UGGCGAACGGGUGAGUAACACGUGAGUAACCUGCCCUUAACUCUGGGAUAAGCCUGGGAAACUGGGUCUAAUACCGGAUAUGACUCCUCAUCGCAUGGUGGGGGGUGGAAAGCUUUAUUGUGGUUUUGGAUGGACUCGCGGCCUAUCAGCUUGUUGGUGAGGUAAUGGCUCACCAAGGCGACGACGGGUAGCCGGCCUGAGAGGGUGACCGGCCACACUGGGACUGAGACACGGCCCAGACUCCUACGGGAGGCAGCAGUGGGGAAUAUUGCACAAUGGGCGAAAGCCUGAUGCAGCGACGCCGCGUGAGGGAUGACGGCCUUCGGGUUGUAAACCUCUUUCAGUAGGGAAGAAGCGAAAGUGACGGUACCUGCAGAAGAAGCGCCGGCUAACUACGUGCCAGCAGCCGCGGUAAUACGUAGGGCGCAAGCGUUAUCCGGAAUUAUUGGGCGUAAAGAGCUCGUAGGCGGUUUGUCGCGUCUGCCGUGAAAGUCCGGGGCUCAACUCCGGAUCUGCGGUGGGUACGGGCAGACUAGAGUGAUGUAGGGGAGACUGGAAUUCCUGGUGUAGCGGUGAAAUGCGCAGAUAUCAGGAGGAACACCGAUGGCGAAGGCAGGUCUCUGGGCAUUAACUGACGCUGAGGAGCGAAAGCAUGGGGAGCGAACAGGAUUAGAUACCCUGGUAGUCCAUGCCGUAAACGUUGGGCACUAGGUGUGGGGGACAUU
rnacentral:rRNA from 1 species